GUCAGUUUGGCCGAGUGGUCUAAGGCGCUAGACUUGAACGAAACCCGCUUCGGGUACCAUGUUUGGGCAUCUAGUAUCUUCGGAUGCACAGGUUCGAACCCUGUAGCUGACG